UCGUCAAUCACACAAUAAUUGAAAUUUCUCAUGACAAGCUCAUCCACGCUCUGCAGAGUAAAAAACAUGAUCACUUGGCCAGUAGUAGGUGGAGAAUCCUAGUAUGACAAGCUCAUCCACGCUCUGCAGAGUGAAAGACAUGAUCACUUGGCCAGUAGUAGGUGGAGAAUCCUAGUAACUUCAGAGCAUAUAGAAUGUAUAAGCAAAACAUAUCAAACUAUAACAAAGUAAAAGAUUUACUUCCCGUGGCAAGAUUAUCUCUCAGGUAAUCAAAACCCAGCUCGCUAUUAGUC
rnacentral:lncRNA from 1 species